rnacentral:rRNA from 1 species
AACGAACGCUGGCGGCAGGCUUAACACAUGCAAGUCGAGCGCCCCGCAAGGGGAGCGGCAGACGGGUGAGUAACGCGUGGGAAUCUACCCAUCUCUACGGAAUAACGCAUGGGAACGUGUGCUGAUACCGUAUACGUCCUUCGGGAGAAAGAUUUAUCGGAGAUGGAUGAGCCCGCGUUGGAUUAGCUAGUUGGUGGGGUAAAGGCCUACCAAGGCGACGAUCCAUAGCUGGUCUGAGAGGAUGAUCAGCCACACUGGGACUGAGACACGGCCCAGACUCCUACGGGAGGCAGCAGUGGGGAAUAUUGGACAAUGGGCGCAAGCCUGAUCCAGCCAUGCCGCGUGAGUGAUGAAGGCCCUAGGGUUGUAAAGCUCUUUCACCGGUGAAGAUAAUGACGGUAACCGGAGAAGAAGCCCCGGCUAACUUCGUGCCAGCCGCCGCAGUAACAC